ensembl:lncRNA
GAAGAAGCGAAAAACCGCCGCCUGUCCGCCGAAUUUGAAGUCAAUUUAGGAUACUUUCUUUUAAUAAACGAAACUGUGACUCCUUCACAAUGUCAGAUUACCUUGUGGGAGUAGCUGGACCAAACUCUAUUGGUAUUUCAAGUUUGAAAUCCCUGUUUGACCAGACUAACAUUUCAGAUGAGGUAAUAGAUGGCCUAAUCUAUUUGCAGUGUGAGAAUUUCCCUCACAUUUAUCCAAUACCAAGUCAAAUCACUGGAAAAAUUUUGGAUGGGUCCACAAGAGCACAAAAUGCAUACUUUUUGAAGUGUGGAGUUUCUCCAUGGAGACCUUUUCCUUCCUGAGAUAACCUUCACCUUAAUGGGAGCAAUAGUGUCCAUUACAUUUAACAUGUUAGCAUUGAAGCUAUUGACGAGCUCAUUGACUGACCCUCUGGGCAGGUCAGGUGUUAAUGGGAAGACCUGGUUAAAAAUUGCACUACUGUGUUCAGUUAUACACCGUUUUGUGAUCACUGUUGUUGAUAUAUUUGUGUGGGCUGAGAUUUUAAACACAGUAAUGAUCAGACAGGCCCACAUCAGACACAGUAACCUUUGAAAUGCUCAGGCCUUUGGAGAUCAGUAGGUCAAGAGUGUGUCCUCUAUUAUGUGUGGCCUCUGUUACAUGCUGAGUCAGCCCAAAGUUGCCCAGAGUGUUACUCAGGUCUUUAGUCCCUUUGUCCUG